rfam:Genlisea aurea contig_2028, whole genome shotgun sequence.
GUGACAGAAGAGAGUAAGCACAGAUGGUGUUUUCGAUCAUGAUGUUUCGGACAUGGUUGGAGCUAUUCGUGCUUACCCUCUUUCUGUCAC